rnacentral:misc_RNA from 1 species
AACGCACGAGACCUGCGGACCUGCGGAGGGAUCAUUAAUGAGAAACUGCCCCUCGCGGGUAGACCUCCCACCCUUUGUAAACUUACCUUUGUUGCUUUGGCAGGCCCGUCUCCGGACCGCCGGCUUCGGCUGGCCAGUGCCUGCCAGAGGAUUCUAAAACUCUGUCUGUCAGUGUUGUCUGAGUCUAUAUACAAUCGUUAAAACUUUUAACAAUGGAUCUCUAGAUCGGAAGAGCACACG